rnacentral:lncRNA from 1 species
AGUGGGAGAAGUCAGCCAUUCGUUCUUAGCGCUGUGGAGAAAUGGGCUGUGUGCCGUAUCUGGGCACAUGGAGAAAGGAAACUGUAUUCCAUCCAAGUGAAAUGGACAGUUUCAGGUGAGGUGUUUUUGUCAGCUCUUAAAGCCAACAGGGCCAAAGAUGGAGGGUGUGGCCCACUCCUUCCUCCUCAGCAGGAAGAGGCCAAGGCGGCCUGGGCUACAGGUGCACCGAUGGGACUCUGCAUCUGGCUGUGUGCGUAUUCCAGUGUGCCGUAGGUGGCCUGGCAGUGCUUAUCAUGGCUCAGCCAUCCCCUUCACUUGAGCUCCCUAAUUGCCUGGUCUCUCCACAAGGUGAGGCUUUUACCAAGUUUACUUUGACUGCAGGCCGUCCUUGGAGCCUGCAAGCACGUUGGAGAGCUCGUUAUAAGGACUCCCACUGCUGCGCUUCCCUACAGCAGCUCAGGGGUGAGGCGCACGCUGAGAAAACUCAUCGCCAGACUAAGGCCCCAGCUGCAAUAGCAAAUCCCAGGGAAUGUUGUAGCCCUGUGAGAUUACGUGAGUGAAGCUCUCGCACAGCCUGUAUGUCAUUCCGUGCUUCCACAUCUGUUAGUUGUUUAUUGAAUCAAGAACUCAGAGCCCCAUGGCUUGAUGAGCAGUCUGUAGGUCCACACCCUGGAUCCAAACCUGCAAACCCUGGGCUGCCGAAGUGGAAUGCAUGAAGUGGAAUGCUACGAUGCCACUGGGCCGGCCCCUGUCUGCACUUUAUUUUGUUUGAAUGUCAGAGCAUCCCUGGACUCAAUCUUUCCACCAUUUUUCUCU